rnacentral:lncRNA from 1 species
CAGGAAAGGCAGUGUCUGCACAAACGUUCCUUCUGAGGCAAGAAGAUACAGGUAAUGGCGGAGCACGGUGGCUCACAUCUGUAACCCCAGCACUUUGGGAGGCCAAGGCGGGCAGAUCACCUGAGGUCAGGAGUUCAAGACCAGCCUGACCAACAUGGAGAAACCCCGUCUCUACUAAAAAUACAAAAAUUAGCUGGGCGUAGUGGCGCGCCCCUGUAAUCCCAACUACUCGAGAGUCUAGGCAGGAGAAUGACUUGAACCCGGGAGGCAGAGGUUGCAGUGAGCCGAGAUCGCGCCACCGCACUCCAAGAGCAAGACUCCAUCUGGAAAAAAAAAAAAUUGGUUGUGUUACUGGGCCCCUCUCAGCAGCUACUGGGGAGCCAGAAGGUCCUGGAGUCCAGUUUGGUGCUGGAGCUGCUGCACCUUGGCCCUCACUCCUAGGGGAGGUUGAGGCAGUGGCUGUGUGAGGAAAGAAGCCAUGGCAGUGACAGCUGUGCCUGGAGAGCCACAGAAGGAUGCAGCCGGCACUGCCCUCACUACGCGGGAAGCACUGCAAGACUGAGAGACUGAGGCAGGAUCAAGGCCUGGGAAGGAGUGGGGCUUAGCAAAUCUAAGGAGGUUUAUAAACUGGGUCCAGAACAUUGACUUAGGGAAAAACUGUUUAGAUUCUAAAUUUGAUGUUCUGAGCAGCCAGAUGUAUUGUGACUGCAACUUCUGUAAGCACCGGUUUUAAAAAAGCAUGUGAAUUGAAAGAUUUCUUGUGUUCUCUCCUCAUGACAAAAUGAUGC